GCUGCAGUAGCUCAGUGGUAGAGCCUCCGUCUCCAAUGCGCGGGACCUGGGUUCGAUUCGUGGCUGCUUCU
rnacentral:tRNA from 1 species